GAGUUUGAUCCUGGCUCAGGACGAACGCUGGCGGCGUGCUUAACACAUGCAAGUCGAACGGUGAAGCUCCAAGCUUGCUUGGGGUGGAUCAGUGGCGAACGGGUGAGUAACACGUGAGCAACCUGCCCCAGACUCCGGAAUAAGCGCUGGAAACGGCGUCUAAUACUGGAUAUGAGAUCAGUCCGCAUGGGCAUGGUCUGGAAAGUUUUUCGGUCUGGAUGGGCUCGCGGCCUAUCAGCUUGUUGGUGAGGUAAUGGCUCACCAAGGCGACGACGGGUAGCCGGCCAGAGAGGGCGACCGGCCACACUGGGACUGAGACACGGCCCAGACUCCUACGGGAGGCAGCAGUGGGGAAUAUUGCACAAUGGGCGAAAGCCUGAUGCAGCGACGCCGCGUGAGGGAUGACGGCCUUCGGGUUGUAAACCUCUUUCAGCAGGGAAGAAGCGAAAGUGACGGUACCUGCAGAAGAAGCACCGGCUAACUACGUGCCAGCAGCCGCGGUAAUACGUAGGGUGCGAGCGUUGUCCGGAAUUAUUGGGCGUAAAGGGCUUGUAGGCGGUUUGUCGCGUCUGCUGUGAAAAUCCGAGGCUCAACCUCGGACUUGCA
rnacentral:rRNA from 1 species